GCCUUGAAAGCUUAAAGUUAAGCGCCCGGUCUUGUAAAUCGGGAGAGAGGGUUAAAGUCCCUCUCAAGGCU
rnacentral:tRNA from 1 species